CUUUUCCGUCUCUUUCUUUUUAUGUCACCAGGGGAGGACUGGGUGGCCAACCCAGAGCCCCGAGAGAUGCUAGGCUCUUUCUGUCCCGCCCUUCCUCUGACUGUGUCUUGAUUUCCUAUUCUGAGAGGCUAUUGCUCAGCGGUUUCCGUGGCAACAGUAAAGCGUGGGAAUUACAGAUAAAUUAAAACUGUGGAACCCCUUUCCUCGGCUGCCGCCAAGGUGUUCGGUCCUUCCGAGGAAGCUAAGGCCGCGUUGGGGUGAGACCCUCACUUCAUCCGUUUUGUCUGCAGCUCGAUUUCUUGGUUCCCUGACUGGGAAGCGAGGUGAAUGGCGGAUGGUCAAGGCAGCUCCUUAGGCGGCUUAAACCUGCCCUGUGGAACAUCCCUGCAGGGGACUCCAACCAGCCCGAGCAACACGGAUCCUGAGGGCGCUCCUGGUUAGGCAUUUGCCCCACUGGGACGCCUCGCCAGAGCACUGUAUGGCAGGCCCCCAUGGAGGAUCAACGCAGUGGCUGAACACCGGGAAGGAACGGGCACUUGGAGUCUGGACAUCUAAAACUUGAAUUUCUAGUAAACCAGCACCAGCCUGAAGAUCACAUUCUCAUCGAAAGGUGGAAAGAAGAAAAACUCGAGCCAGCCUGGAAGGACCCUACCUUGUGUUGCUAACCACCAAGACUGCUGUUCGUACAGCAAAAAAGGAUGGACUCGUCACACCAGAAUCAAGAAAGUGCCACCCCCUCCAGAGUCAUGGGCCACAGUCCCAGAGGAAAACCCUGCCAAACUAAAGCUACGAAAAAUCUCUUUUCAUCUAUUCUAUUACUCUUCUUUCUUUCCUCGUGCUAUUGCUGACCAUCUAGUUAUUAACAUAACCAAGUCAAUUUCACCUCAAACUAUUGCAUUUAAUGCUUGCCUUGUUAUACCCUGUGGGGACUUGCCAAGUCAAAGACAGCUCUCUACUUCAGAAAAGUACUUCUGUCCCUCCUGACUCUCCUCAGACUGGACAUUAGUAAACUAGGACCAUUUAAUCCAGGGAGAUUUCGAUAAAGACCCCAGUGCCAACCAGGAGUCUUGUCCCCUGAUGUAGAGUUUUUAUGCCGUAGUUGGUCCAACGUUCUGUGGACCACUAAAGAGCAAGAAUGGACUGCCCCAACCAGUUUUUGUAAUUUCCUAAAACCAUACAUUCGUUUUACUAGAGGAUCAUAGAAGUUAAAGAGUUAAAACAAACUUUACCAAUGAAGACAGGAUACCAAGAUGCAAAUGCCUGGUUAAAAUGCAUCAAAUAUUCCAUCUGCACGUUAAACAAAAGCAAUUGUUAUGCUUGUGCACAUGGCAGGCCAGAGGCCCAGAUUGUCCCCUUUCCACUAAGGUGGUCCUCCAGUCGACCAGAUGUGGGCUGCCUGGUAGCUCUUUUCCAGGAUUCUACAGCCUGUAUUAAUAAGUCAUGCCAAGCUCUCUCUGCUAUAUCCCAAAGUCCAGCACCCUGCGGGUCAGCCCCCGAGGGCCAUCCAUCCUCCAUCUCCCAACACUAAGUUCACUUCAUGUCUCUCACAACAGGGAGGAAACUUAGCGUUCCUUGGAGACCUGAAAGGAUGCAGUUAGCUUAAGAAUUUUCAAGAGCUUAUCAAUCAGUCAGCCCUUGUUCAUCCCCGAGCAGAUGUGUGGUGGUAUUGUGGUGGACCUUUACUGGGCACUCUGCCAAAUAACUGGAGUGGCACUUGUACUUUAGUCCAAUUGGCUAUCCCUUUCACCCUGGCAUUUCAUCAACCAGAAGGAAAAAAAGAAAGACAUUGUAAAGCGAGAGAAGCCCCUUAUGGGUCUUUCGACUCUCAUGUCUAUUUAGAUGCAAUUGGAGUCCCACGAAGAAUACCAGAUCAAUUUAAAGCUUGAAAUCAAAUAGCUGCAGGAUUUAAGUCAAUAUUUUAGUGGGUGACAGUUAAUAAAAAUGUAGAUUAGAUAAACUACAUCUAUUACAACCAACAACAACGAGGUUUUCAUGAGUUAAAAGAAAACCUCAUGUUGGUCCCAGCCCUGAGGCUACCUGACCUGACAAAACUCUUUACACUCUAUGUGUCAGAAAGAGAAAAAAUGGCAGUUGGAGUUUUAACCCAUACUGUGAGGCCCUGGCCAAGGCCAGUGGCCUAUCUCUCAAAACAACUAGACAGGAUUUCCAAAGGCUGGCCCCCAGGUCUAAGGGCCCUAGCAGCAACAGCCCUGUUAGCACAAGAAGCAGAUAAACUAACCCUUAGGAAAACCUGAAUAUAAAGGCCCCCCAUGCUGUGGUAACUUUAAUGACUACCAAAGGACCUCAUUGGUUACAAAUGCUAGAUUAACCAAGUACCAAAGCUUGCUAUGUGAAAAUCCCCACAUAACCACUGAAGUUUGCAACACCCUAAACCCCACCACCUUGCUCCUGGUAUCAGAGAGCCUAGUUGAACAUACUGUGUAGAGGUGUUGGACUCAGUUUAUUCUAGCAGGCCCAACCUCCGAGACUAUCCUUAAACAUCAGUAGACUGUGAGGGGUACGUGGACGGGAGUAGCUUCGCCAACCCCUGCAAAGUGACUCUGAAGAAGACGACAAGCUCUGCUCCAGUCACACCCAGAAGCUGACUGGUCCACGCACGGCCGAAGCAUGAGAAAACUCAUUGCGGAACUCAUUUUCCUUAAAAUUUGGACUUUUACAGUAAGGACUUCAACUGACCUUCCUCAGACUGAGGACUGUUCCAGUGUAUACAUCAAGUCACUGAGGUAGGACAAAAGGUUGCUACAGUCCUAUUAUUUUAUGGUUAUUAUAAGUGUACUGGAACUCUAAAAAUAACUUGUUUGUAUAAUGUUAUUCUGUACAAGGUAUGUAGCCCAGGAAGUGACCAACCUGAUGUGUGUUAUGACCCAUCUGAGCCUCCCAUGACCACGGUUUUUAAAAUAAGAUUAAGGACUGAGGACUGGUGGGGGCUCAUAAAUGAUAUGAGUAAAGUGUUAGCCAAAACAGAAGAAAAAGGGGUGCCCAAACAAGUCACCUUAAAAUUUGAUGCCUGUGCUGUCAUUAAUAGUAAUAAGUUAGGAAUAAAGUGUGGUUCUCUUAAUUAGAAAAGAGGCUAUAUGGCAGAAAAUAAGUACAUCUGUCAUAAAUUAGGACUGUGUGGAAAUAAAUGUAAAUACUGGUCUUGUGUCAUUUAGGCCACUUGGAUUUAAAAAAAAUGAAAAGGAUCCAGUCCACCUUCAGAAAGGAAAAAAAUGGCCCUUCCUGUGCUAAGGGACAAUGUAACCCCUUAGAGCUAGUAAUAACCAAUCCCCUUGAUCCUCGCUGGAAAAAAGAGUAGCGUGUGACCUUAGGAAUCAAUGGGGCUGGACUGAAUCCCCGAGUAAAUAUCUUGGUUCGAGGAGAAGUUUACAAAUGCUCUCUUGAGCCAGUGUUUCAAACUUUCUAUGAUGAACUAAAUGUGCCAAUAACAGAAUUUCCAGGAAAAACAAGAAAUUUGUUUUUGCAAUUAGCCGAGCAUGUAGCCCAGUCUCUCACUGUCACUUCAUGUUAUGUAUGUGGAGGAACUGUAAUAGCAGAUCAAUGGCCAUGGGAAGCCCGAGAAUUAGUACCUACAGACCCAGUUCCUGAUGAAUUCCCAGCUCAAAAGAAUCACCCUGAUAAUUUCUGGGUCCUAAAAGCCUCAAUCAUUAGACAAUACUAUAUAGCAAGAGUGGAGAAGGACUUCACCCUUCCUGUAGGAAGACUACAUGGUGGAGUUCAAACCACACAGAGAAAAAUCCAUUCAGUAAAUUUCCAAAGUUGCAGACCGUUUAGGCCCACCCAGAAUCCCACCGGGACUGGACAGCCCCCACUGGGCUAUACUGGAUAUGUGGACAUAGAGCCUACACUAAGCUGCCUGACAAGUAGUUGUGUUAUUGGCACUAUUAAACCAUCUUUCUUCCUACUGUCCAUAAAAACAGGAGAACUCCUGGGCUUCCCUGUCUAUGCUUCCCGUGAAAAGCAUAGCUAUAAGAAAUUGAAACAAUGAUAAAUGGCCCCCUGAGAGAAUCAUACAGUAUUAUGGGCCUGCUACUUAGGCACAAGAUGGCUCGUGGGGAUACCGGAUCCCCAUUUAUAUGAUCAACUGAAUCAUACGGUUACAAGCUGUCUUAAAAAUAAUCACUGCAACCGGCAGAGCCUUGACUAUUCUGGCCCAGCAAGAAACUCAGAUGAGAAAUGCUAUCUAUCAAAAUAGAUUAGCUCUCGACUACUUGCUAGCAGCUGAAGGAGAGGUCUGUAGGAAAUUUAACCUUACUAAUUGCUGCCUACACAUAGAUAACCAAGGGCAAGUAGUUGAAGACAUAGUUAGAGAUAUGACAAAAGUGGCACAUGUGCCCGUGCAAGUGUGGCAUGGAUUUGAUCCUGGGGCCAUGUUUAGAAAAUGGUUCCCAGCGCUAGGAGGAUUUAAAACUCUUAUAAUAAGAGUUAUAAUAGUAAUAGGAACCUACUUACUGCUCCCUCGUUUGCUACCUGUACUUCUUCAAAUGAUAAAAAGCUUCAUCGCUACCUUAGUAUACCAAAAUGCAUCAGCACAAGUGUACUAUAUAAAUCACUAUUGAUCUGUCUAGCAAGAAGACAUGGGUAGUAAACAUGAAACAACUCCUGCUAUUGAGUGAGAGUCUCAAAGUGGGGGAAUAAGGGAGGAGACCACCCCUCAUAUUGUCUUAUGCCCAAUUUCUGCCUCCAAAGAAAGAAAAAGUAAAAACUAAAAGGCAGAAAUGAAAUCCACAAGCAGACAGCCCGGGCGCCACACCCUGGGACUGGUAGUUGAAAAUCAAUCCCGGACCUAAUCGGUUAUGUUAUCUAUAGAUUACAGACAUUGUAUAGAAAAGCAUUGUGAAAAUCUCAUUCCUGUUUUGUUCCAAUCUAAUUACUGGUGCGUGCAGCCCCCAGUCACGUACCCACGUACCUCCUGCUUGCUCAAUCGAUCACGACCCUCUCACGCACACCCCCUUAGACUUGUGAGUCCUUAAAAGGGACAGGAAUUGCUCACUCGGGGCGGGGGCUCGGCUCUUGAGACAGGAGUCUUGCUGAUGCCUCCGGCCUAAUAAACCCCUUCCUUCUUU
rnacentral:lncRNA from 1 species